CCCUUCCAGCAGCCGCGGUAAUACGUGGGGGGCCAGCGUUGCUCGGAAUUAUUGGGCGUAAAGGGCGCGUAGGCGGUGUGGCAAGUCGGGAGUGAAAUUUCUGGGCUUAACUCAGAACCUGCUUCCGAAACUGCUGUGCUCGAGUGUGGGAGAGGCGCGUGGAAUUGCAGGUGUAGCGGUGAAAUGCGUAGAUAUCAGGAGGAAUACCGGUGGUGCAGACGGCUCUCUGGACCGCUACUGACGCUGAGACACGAAAGCGUGGGUAGCAAACAGGAUUAGAUACCCUGGUA
rnacentral:rRNA from 1 species